rnacentral:rRNA from 1 species
GAACGCUGGCGGCAUGCCUAAUACAUGCAAGUCGAACGGUAACGCGAGGAGCUUGCUCCUUGGCGACGAGUGGCGGACGGGUGAGUAAUACUUAGGAAUCUGCCCAGUAGUGGGGGACAACAUUCGGAAACGGAUGCUAAUACCGCAUACGCCCUACGGGGGAAAGCGGGGGAUCUUCGGACCUCGCGCUAUUGGAUGAGCCUAAGUCGGAUUAGCUUGUUGGUGGGGUAAAGGCCUACCAAGGCGAUGAUCCGUAGCUGGUCUGAGAGGACGAUCAGCCACACUGGGACUGAGACA